rnacentral:ribozyme from 1 species
AAGUUUUUUUUUUUUUUUUUUUUUUUUC